AAUUGGCUAUGGGAAGACGAACAUGUUCUUGACUAUGGCUCAGUAGUAAAUUGAACGAAUGAAAUAAUCCGCGUAUAUUUCAUAAUAAUAUUAUUCACAAUAAUUUGGACAAUCAAUUUUAACGCGGUAUUCGCGUAGCACAGGCUGCCUGUUUAUGACACAGUGUCGUAUUAAAUUGUAACAUAAUAGUAACUAGCUACAGAAGACAUAAAAAUUAAUCUCGAUCACGUUACGUGUCAGUAAAUACAUGGGACACGCUUUCGCCAUUCUCAUACUAAUUCUAAUACGUAAACUGCGUCGUCAUAUGUCUUCUAAACCUACGCAGUUUACCUACUUUUCCCACCUUCCACCGCCUAAUUCCACCUCCCUUUUUCCCCCAAAACACACGUUGCCAGCCGUCUGCGAUCUGCUCGUCUGCGAGAAUCUUCGACAACACCCUAAUCGAAGCGAAAUGAAACAGCCAGCGUAGCAAAGUGCAAAGCGAAUGCAAACUCUAGCGAACUCUGUUCGCCUCUGCAUCGUCGAAAAGAACGAGAAGAAGGUUAGUCGAUUGCAUCGGUCGCUGAAUCCUGCGAUGCGUCGGGAAACUAACAAUCGUCCUAUCGUCUGGUCCUCGUGAGGUGACGAAGGAAGAGAGCGGCAGGAAGAGAAGGUCGUCAGAGGUCGCGGUAUCGGUCGAAUGUUUUCCAUCCGGUGAGUAGAGCAGCUACGUUCGGGAGGAUGCGGUGUCGAGGUGGGCGUUCGGGAUCGAUCCCCGACUCCAUUCCCGUGACGUCACUGUGCGGCAAGAUAGGAUGGGGAGAGAUGGCAGGAGAGACAAAGCGGGAGGUUUAGGGCGGAGCGGGGCGAACGUGGACACGCGAGCGGUGCCGAGGGGUGUGUAGGUGGUGGGUGCAGUGCCGGGACUCGGGCAGAUCCCGGCGACGACGUUGGCCGCGUUUUCGACGGUGGUGCCGCUGCUGCCGGCGUUGACGCACCUUGUGGAACGGCGCGUAGCCCGUCACGAUUGUGGUGGUGGUCCUCGUGGUGGUGGUGGUGGUGGUGGUGGUGGGUGUGCGACGUCGCCGGUAUCGAUGCCGGUGGCUGUGUCUUAUUCGCCGGUUUCCGAGCUGCAAAUCUCAUAGACAGAGGUACGAUCGAUCGCGACCUUCGAAGACGCGUGUGAAGCGAAGGAGGAGCGCGCAGCGAUGCUGGCCGCGAUCGUUGGAGGAAUCAGCAACCUCGAGGGUGGCGGUGGCGUGCCGGUGACACGACGGUUUAGUCGCUGCUAGUUGACGCGAGGUUCUCCCUUCUGUCGACCGGUGCUAUCGUUCUCUCUCUCAAUCGCCUCGAAAUUCGUUUCGCGACCAUCGUUCCUCCGACAAUUCCACGAUCCUUAGGUUUAGUGACUUCUUCUUCGACAUCGUCGAGUUAGUCGUUUCUCGGUAGAUGGUCACUGGCGAGUGUGCAACACCGAGCGAAUCUCUCGCUUUGGCUGCCUCACGUCCGCGAUACGCAGUCACAUCGCGUUACUCGAUGAUAGGAAGCUGCUCGUAGUAGCAGUCGGUGAACGCGUGUGCAUAUGCUUGUAUACAUAUACAUGUAUAUAUAGCUGUUGGUUCUUCCUCGGUCACGACCUUCACCGUGUAAUCAAGUUGGUGUCUGAGGUUGCUGGUUGCGCUACAUGUGUCAAGGCAAUUGUACCACGCGUAUCCUGCCAGUUAACUGCCUGGUGUAUAGGCGUUGAUAGUUGCGUACGUGUGCAGGGAAGAAUCGUAACAACGCGUGGUGACGGUGCAUCGACUGUGCUGGUUUCUUCGUUCGCAAGAAACGGUCGAUAGCACUGGAAGUGCAGCUCCAUAUUGCUUAAAAUACGAGGUGGACCUAUCGAUUUGGAAGACCGACGGGAUCAUGAGCAGGAUACACUUGAUCAUUUUCCUCGUCUUUUUCCUGCUCAUCGUCUUCUUCUCGCUGCUUCUCUUCUCCUUCUUCUUUCAAGUAAUUCUAUAAUCUCCGAAUGGCUAUUUUUCGCUUCAGAAUUCGCCACGUCCUCGCUUAUCAAGAUAAUCCGUGAAAAGUGGAAUAUUCAUUGGUUUUGCGAUAACGCGCGUGUGAUUCGAGUGUUGGCCCACACAGCCUCCAUCCAGUGUCGUUUCGCGCUCGAGAUAAACGUACCUCGGCUGAGAAUUCUCCCUGCGAUGUAACACGGACGUAGGCAAUUUGCAUUCGAUCUGUCGCGAUUAAUUUCAUUCAUCGAAUAUCUCGAACGGGACUGGCAGCGUUGGCAGGGCCGGCCGGUUCCUUUGACCCAGUGAUCCGGUUCGGUACGUAGCGUGCUCCGAGUACGCCACCCACCCGCGGCGAGCGAAAUGGAAUUCGCGUGCGAAAAAUGGCGACGUGAGAGGCGGCCGAAUCUUCAUCGGCACUGCCAGUUCUCGUAAUUCUCCAACCAUCUAACCUUCCACGCGAAAGCUCGUUCGCGAUUCUUUUUCCCAACCGUUCGCUAAAUUCGGGAAUGAAGAUCGAGCGAUAAGAGAAACGCACGCAACCUUUUCGACCGGCGAACGCCUAGAGGCGAUCGGUUCGAAGUAAACGAACGACGAUAAUACGCGUUGGCGUUUGUGAUGCACGGGACAAGGAAACGAGAAGAUGGCGUGGAAACGCGGAAAUCGGCGCAGGAUCGCGCCAGUCGAUCGACGAUAGCGCGAUCCAACUGCAGCCGAGUAUCGUGAACGCGCGCGCAUGCGCGCGCGCGGUAUUUUCGAAUGACGCGCAACGAUCUAUCUUCGAGACGCUGAAGCGUUUGCGAAACAUGUUGAUGCGCUGGAAGAGCAAGGACAAGAGCUCCGGCAAGAGCUCCUCAGCCGGCACCAGUCUUGGAAAAAAGAAGCGUAAAUUCGGCAGAGAAGGAAAUCUGAUUUCUUCCUCAUCGCUGCUAUCCGAAUUUGUGUAAGCCUCUUAACAGCUUUCUUUUUCACUGCUGUUUGACUCACUAAGAAAUAAGUUUUCCAUUUUUCUUUUCGACAUUGUAACGAAUUAGGGCAUUUUAAGUUAUCUAAAAUAUCGGUGGCAAUCUAGCAAAGUGCGCUUGGUACAGCGGCACUCGUGGCCUGAAGGAGAUUUCGUUGAAAACACGCGUGGCAGUCAACGUGUUAAAGGGCGAACGAGCGAAUGUCGUUUGCUCUUUUACAAAAGUUUGCGCUUUGUCGACGCCAACUUCUCGGACCCGUAAAAAAGUCAAUUUUACGCCGUUUAAAUCUGUGUGAUAUUUUUGAACGUUUCCACAAGUAUAAAUUCCUAAUAUAAUUUCCUAACGUAAAUGCAUCCGCCGACUACGAUAACCCGAAGGUUUUACAACAUGAAAAUCACACGAGAAAGACACGACAUAAGCGCACUCGUGUUAACUUUUUAGCCGUCGAUUCGCAUACGUCGUGCUGCAGUUUGGAUCAAGUUACUUCGUUUAAAAAUCUAGUUUUCCUGCCUAGUCGUUGUCUAUGUGACGAUUAAACGACGGACAAAUAAGCUCUCCGACAGGUUUCUCGGCUUCUCGGUUUCCCGGCCGCGACAGACACGAGAAGGCACGUUGUAUUAUAUUUAGACGAUCGAUCGGCGAUCCGGUAGUUUUUACUCUGCAAAUUUGCAUGGACGUGGUGGUGAUUUUAAAAAUAAACCAUUUCCCUGCUGGCAGCGCUAUACGGCACGUUACGAUUGUCCUUGACCCGUAGAAAGCCCAUUCGGGUGGACGCGAAGUAGACUCGCGCGUUCCUUCACGCUCCAAAAGUUGCGCGUACUCGGUCGAUUCGCUUUAAAAUGGAACACUGAAAACAAAAAAAAAAACAAAAAAGAAAAAAAAAGAAA